rnacentral:rRNA from 1 species
UGGGGAAUUUUGGACAAUGGGCGAAAGCCUGAUCCAGCAAUGCCGCGUGUGUGAAGAAGGCCUUCGGGUUGUAAAGCACUUUUGUCCGGAAAGAAAUCCUUGGCUCUAAUACAGUCGGGGGAUGACGGUACCGGAAGAAUAAGCACCGGCUAACUACGUGCCAGCAGCCGCGGUAAUACGUAGGGUGCAAGCGUUAAUCGGAAUUACUGGGCGUAAAGCGUGCGCAGGCGGUUUGCUAAGACCGAUGUGAAAUCCCCGGGCUCAACCUGGGAACUGCAUUGGUGACUGGCAGGCUAGAGUAUGGCAGAGGGGGGUAGAAUUCCACGUGUAGCAGUGAAAUGCGUAGAGAUGUGGAGGAAUACCGAUGGCGAAGGCAGCCCCCUGGGCCAAAUACUGACGCUCAUGCACGAAAGCGUGGGGAGCAAACAGGAUUAGAUACCCUGGUAGUCCACGCCCUAAACGAUGUCAACUAGUUGUUGGGGAUUCAUUUCCUUAGUAACGUAGCUAACGCGUGAAGUUGACCGCCUGGGGGAGUACGGUCGCAAGAUUAAAA